GAUGAACGCUGGCGGCGUGCCUAAUACAUGCAAGUCGAGCGAACAGACGAGGAGCUUGCUCCUCUGACGUUAGCGGCGGACGGGUGAGUAACACGUGGAUAACCUACCUAUAAGACUAGGAUAACUUCGGGAAACCGGAGCUAAUACCGGAUAAUAUAUUGAACCGCAUGGUUCAAUAGUGAAAGACGGUUUUGCUGCCACUUAUAGAUGGAUCCGCGCCGCAUUAGCUAGUUGGUAAGGUAACGGCUUACCAAGGCAACGAUGCGUAGCCGACCUGAGAGGGUGAUCGGCCACACUGGAACUGAGACACGGUCCAGACUCCUACGGGAGGCAGCAGUAGGGAAUCUUCCGCAAUGGGCGAAAGCUUGACGGAGCAACGCCGCGUGAGUGAUGAAGGUCUUCGGAUCGUAAAACUCCGUUAUUAGGGAAGAACAAAUGUGUAAGUAACUAUGCACGUCUUGACGGUACCUAAUCAGAAAGCCACGGCUAACUACGUG
rnacentral:rRNA from 1 species